AUUUAAGUAGUUUAAUUAAAAUAUUGAUUUGUGGUGUCAGUGAUGCUUUGCUGCCUUAAGUU
rnacentral:tRNA from 1 species